GGAGGCCUCCGGUCGCCUGGCUCCGGCCCCACCCCGCCAUCCCCUGGCCCUGGCUGACUCGCCACCCCCGACACUGCAGCGCCUGCCGACCUCGGGGCCCCGCCCUCUGCCUUCGCUCGCGCCGCUCUCCUUCAGUCUCCCCAGGGCCUGUUUCAUGGAUAGGGUCCCCUUGCCCGCGUGAAAGUCUCAUUCCUCCUCAGCUCAGAAACACUCCAAGGUCUCGGCGCCCUAUACUGGCCUUCCCUCAUCCGAAUACCCCUCGUGCUCCUGAUGUACUUUUCCAUUCCCACUCCCUACUCUGGCAGUCUAGCUUCUAAGCUGAGGAGUUUGGCCUUCGCUCCAGGUGCGGGGACUCGUGGAAGGAUUUGAUUCGCGCUUGAGAAAGAUCGCUCCGCUCCUGUAAGGAAGAGAGCGUGUAGGGGCUGCAACCAGAGACACAGUCAGAAGCUCCGAGGCUACCGCGAUGGUCCAGGUGCCACAGGACACAGCCUAACAGAGGCCCAGGUUGGAGCCAUGGACCAUGGAGUCAUGAGAAUGGAAGGGAAGCUGACGCCAUGUGGGAUGGGGUAGAACUGUCCGCAAAUUCGUCCCGCCUCUGGAGUCUUCAGACCAGUCAAGGCCGAAAUUCAACCAAGCCUCUCCUCUCUCUAGCUGUUAUUUGUUUGCAGCACGCGGUCUGGUGGCACCCUGCAGGAUUUACCAGCUUUUUGCCAACAUUCUGGCCUAUGCAAUCAAUACGUCCCUUCAGCGUUGCACUUGGAUGGAUUGGACCUAUAGUUGUUAUAUAUGGAUAUUGUCUAAUUUAUUUAUUACAGUAUUAACUGACUCCUAUGUUCUGGCCUUCAGAAUUUCUCCUUUGGAUCAAUUACUAGCCUGUCUUACAUUUUCUGCUUCAUUCUUUUAAAAUGUUUAGAGAUGAUUUGCUAAGUUUUCUUCAUUGCUGUCAAUGAUGCAAUUUAAACUGUCAAAAAAAUUUUUUCUCAAGCAGGGUAGUAAUGGUGAACCAUUCCCUUGCUAUUCAGACAGCAUGGUUUAGAUGAGGCGCACCUAUCCCCAGCUUUAGGAAUGGAAACAGGACCCAAGUCUGGCUAAUCAGAGACUGGUUUAGGGUCGGCCCCAUGGUCUGAGCCAGACCAAUGAGAAUUGGUAGAGGGACUUCCUUUUGCAACUUCUAUUUUAGAAUCGGGGGUAUAUAUGCAGGCUUGUUACAGAGGUAUAUUGCAUGGUGCUGAGGUUUGGAGUAUGAACGAAUCCGUCCUUCAGGUAAUGAGCAUAGUACCCAAUAGGUAGUUUCAACCCUUGCCCCCUUCCUCCUUCCCCAGUCUUGUAUUCCCCAGUGUCUGUUGUUCCCAGACAUUGAUCUUUUUCCUCUAUGUUGCUAAGCUGGUAGAAAGGCUGGAGUUGCUGGCAACCAUCUUUGCAACCAUGCAGGGAGAACUACUUUGGAAAUGAAGCAAGAUAAAGAAGAAAACAGAUAAAAGGAGACAAAUGUUUGACUUUGUACAGCUGGAAACCAGCAAUGCUGGAAAUGAGCACUGAAGGCAGUUUAAUGGGUUUGUCACUUGUAACCAAGUGACCCAUGGCAAGCUCACAGAUUUGUAUUGGCAGAAUUCCUCCUUUUCUUUAUUUAAAAUGGUACUUUUGGCCAGGCAAGGUGGUUCACACCUGUAAUCCAAAGACUUUGGGAGGCCGAGGCGCACUGAUCACCCAAGGUCAGAAGUUCGAGAACAGCCUGGCCAACAUUGGCGAAACCCCAUCUCUACUAAAAAUACAAACCAUUAGCUGGCUGCGGUGGCCUUUCUACCAGCUUUUUGUCUCAAAAAAAAAAAAAAAAAAGGUACUUUUGCUUAUCUCUAACCUUCCUCUUCCCCAUAAUUUAACAGUUGCCCAUACUAUCUGUUACUCUGAGCUACUCUCUGCCCCAUUCUCCUCCUCUUAUCUUCAGUUCCUCCUAGGCUGUCAGAGCCAUCUGAAAUGAAAACAUUUAGGCCGGGCAUAGUGGUUCAUGCCUGUAAUCCCAGCACUUUGGGAGGCUGAGGCAGGCGGAUCAGCUGAGGUCAGGAGUUCAAGACCACCCUGGUCAACAUGGUGAAACCCCAUCUCUACUAAAAAUACAAAAAUUAUCCAGACAUGGUGGCACAUGCCUCUACUCCCAGCUACUUGGGAGGCUGAGGCAGGAGAAUCGCUUGAACCUAGGAGGCAGGGGUUGCAGUGAGCCGAGAUUGAGCCACUGCACUCUAGCCUGGGCGACAGAGUGAGACUUUGUCUAAAAAACAUAAAUAAAAUAAAAUGAAAUGAAAACAUUUGCUACUUGAAAUCCUUCAGAUUCCCCAUCGCCUACCUACAGGCAAAACUCUCAAGUUCUUUUGUAUGAUUUAACCACUAUCUACCUGUCCAACUGAAAUCUACCCUUCAGUAAUAUUAUACUUGCACCUCCCUUCAUAAGCUAUGCUACAAGUUUGGUUAUGCAGUUGCCCACCUUUUAAGGUUCAAGCCUUGUCUUCUCCAAAGAGCCACCUCUGACUGCCUCACAGUAAGCUUAGGGCCCGCAACUUACCUGUAACUUUUGUUGCACUUAUGGCCUUUUACAACUAUCAAUUUAUGUAUGUGUCUGUUCUCACUGGUUUAUAAGCUCCCUGAGGACAGAGCCUUGCUUGAGUCAUCUGUCAGCAGCCCAAUAUGGGACAAAAAGUGCAUGCAUUGUAAUUACUGAACAGAACUGAUAGAGGCUCAGCAAUUUGCGCUCCAUAGGUCUAAGUUUGAACUUUUCUAGAAAAGGAUUUGCAGGACGAUCUGACG
ensembl:lncRNA BOLA3-DT BOLA3 divergent transcript